rnacentral:lncRNA from 1 species
CAAAGCAUGUGACAUUAAGGUGCAACCCUGCAAAGCAUUUCUUGAGUGCACUGUUUGCAGACAGACUAACUUGAAAAGAUAUCCUUCCACUCGCAUCAGUGAAAGGAAAAGUUCAAGGCCUUUUGAGCUUGUACAUGCAGAUUUGCAAGGUCCAAAUGAAGUCUCCCUAGGGGGAUCUCGUUUUAUGUUAUUGCUUACAGAUGAUUUCUCAAAAUAUUCAUUUGUUUAUUUCUUGAAACACAAGUCNGAAGUUUUUGAAUAUUUUAAACAAUGGGUGAGAAUGAUUGAGAACAAACACAGCACAAAUGUUGNUGCAAUACAAACUGACAGAGGAGGUGAAUUCACGAGCCAAAAAUUCAAACGCUGGCUUCUUAAGAGAGGAAUUCAGCACAGGAUGACUAAUCCUUAUAGCCCAUUUGAAAAUGGUGUUGCUGAGAGGAGAAUCGGNUUAGUUAAAGCUAUGAGAGAAGCUAUGAUGCUUGAUGCUAACCUAUCUCCAAAGUAUUGGGCAAAAUGUUCAAAAACAGCUAUCUUUAACCUGAAUCGGUUAUGGAGCACUUCNAUUUCUGACAUUCCUUAUAGAAAGCUGUACAACAGAAAUCCCAAUUUUGAGUAUGCUCACACAUUUGGGCAACAAGCCUACGUUCUCUUACCUGAAGCUCAGAGAACAAAGCAAAGUAAAGCGUCUCUUUGUCAUUUUCUGGGGUAUUCAACAAAGGGGUUCCAUUUUAUAGACAAAAAUGGCAAAAUAAUCGUUUCCAGAAGUGCCAAUUUCCUAGAGCAUGAGAACUGGGACAGAUUACAUUCUAACAAGGAAAUUUUUCUACAGCCAAUGCAGCAAGAAAGGGCAGAAAAGGAUUAUUCUUUUCAGAGCUCAGAUCUUUCUCCCUCAGUGUCUCAGCUUAAACUGAAACAUGAUACCUCACAGAGCAAAGAGGAAGGCGUGACUAGUCAUUCAAGCCAGUCAGGGCAGACUGUCAUUUCUCAACANGCUGUACCUAAGAGUGAGAAGCAAGACUUUCCAGUCAGAGAAGGGGGGCGAAUUUUGCCCACAGCUCAAGCC